GGAAUAUUGGUCAAUGGGCGGGAGCCUGAACCAGCCAAGUCGCGGGAAGGAAGAAGGAUCUAUGGUUCGUAAACUUCUUUUGCCGGGGAAUAAAGUGCAGGACGUGUCCUGUUUUGUAUGUACCCUGAGAAUAAGGAUCGGCUAACUCCGUGCCAGCAGCCGCGGUAAUACGGAGGAUCCGAGCGUUAUCCGGAUUGAUUGGGUUUCAAGGGUGCGUAGGUGGUUUGAUAGGUCAGCGGUGAAAGUUUGCAGCUUAACUGUAAGAAUGCCGUUGAAACUGU
rnacentral:rRNA from 1 species